rnacentral:rRNA from 1 species
ACUCCUACGGGAGGCAGCAGUGGGGAAUAUUGCACAAUGGGCGCAAGCCUGAUGCAGCCAUGCCGCGUGUAUGAAGAAGGCCUUCGGGUUGUAAAGUAACUUUCUAGCAGUGAGGAAGGCGGGUACGUUAAUAGCGUGCUCGUUUGACGUUAGCUGCAGAAGAAGCACCGGCUAACUCCGUGCCAGCAGCCGCGGUAAUACGGAGGGUGCGAGCGUUAAUCGGAAUUACUGGGCGUAAAGCGCAUGCAGGUGGUUUGUUAAGUCAGAUGUGAAAGCCCGGGGCUCAACCUCGGAAUUGCAUUUGAAACUGGCAGACUAGAGUACUGUAGAGGGGGGUAGAAUUUCAGGUGUAGCGGUGAAAUGCGUAGAGAUCUGAAGGAAUACCGGUGGCGAAGGCGGCCCCCUGGACAGAUACUGACACUCAGAUGCGAAAGCUGGGGGAGCAAACAGGAUUAGAUACCCUGGUAGGAUAGCG